AGUGGGAUAGUUGGGUCAAAUGGUGGAUCCAUUCCAAGUUUUCUGAGUGGUUGCACCAAUUUGCAGUCCCAUCAACAAU
rnacentral:pre_miRNA from 1 species